ensembl:lncRNA
AAAGAAGAGAGGGAAACUGGGGUGAUAAAUUAAUUGUAGGAUUUUAUUGCUGGAAGGAGUUAUUCUCUUCUGUUGCAGUAUAUUUGAAAUUUGUCAGUUAAGGGCCUGGUUCAUAAGUUUCUGUCGUUACUUAGAUCUGGUUUUGACUUUGCUUCUUCUGAUCUUAUUUGCUGAAUUAUAAACUCCUCCAAGUCACACAAGACUUUAUUCAGCUUUGCAUUCCUCCAAAGCUUCUUAGUGCAAUGUCUACUUGACUGCUUCAAAAAAUACUUGCUAAACCUUGAAAGAGAAGAAAGCUAACACAGUAAGUGCUCACAGGUCCUAGUGGCUCCACUUCAUAACUCGGGCAAUGUUCACACAUUUUCAAGGAGGCAAAUCAUCCCAUUUAAGAGAUGAAGAAACUGAUACCAUGGCUGACCAAGGAGAGUUCAAAAACGUAUCCACCUGGUAAGUGAUGGCUCUAACUCCAUUUGAUGCUAAAGUGCUUGCCUUUUCUCAUCGCUUAAUAUGUCCACAGAAACUCAACAAUUAAUGAAGAGGUAGAGUUGUUGGGAACAGGAGUUUGUAAGGAAUUAUUUCAUUUUAAAACAUCAUUCCUAAUUGAGGGUUAGAAAAGGCUUUGGAAACUUGACAAAGGAAAGAAAGAGGAAGCAGCAAUGAAGGAGAAGGGGGAAACAAUAGACCCUGCAAAGCAAGAAAACAUUGAAAUACAAGGAAUGCUGCGAACACUUGGCUGCAGAAAAGAAGACAGACCGGAACUCACAGACCACUUCAAGGUUACGAAUGAGCAAGCCAGCAGGCUUGAGAAAUUCUGAAGACGUUUCACAUAGGAUCCGUCAAUUGCUCAGAGGAAUGAUAAGCCAGGUUCAAUCGUGGGGCUGCAGAGAGUGGAGACUGGGUUUCCAUUCUGCGGUCGACAAAUGCUCCAGUGUGCAAGCUUUUCUUCAGUUCCCGCACCUGCAGAGACGUGGCCCAAGUGACCUAGUAUUUCAGAGGGAGAAGGAGAAUGUGGCAGAGAGAGAAAACUGCUCUUCAAAAGGAAGCCGUCGUUAAGCUAAGAUGCACAAAGAGCAAUUGUGAAUUUGUGUUUAGGGACCUAGAAUUCUCACCACUACCCUGAUGGAAUAUAAAGGUGAGAGGUAUUUUACUGAUGUGCUUUUCCUUUAAAAUAAAUUGCAGUGUCUAAUGCUAAUGUAAAAACAUGAUACACAUUUUCAACUCCAUUUAGAUUUUUUGUUACUGACAAAAAUAGAAAACUCACUGAUGCCCUAAAAUAUCUCCCUGUGGUUCAGGCAAUAUCUUCUAGGAUAAGUUUUUCAUUAUGAAUUUCAAACUCUUGAAAGCAUUAAAGACAAAGGCCCCUCUAUUCCAAUGGGAAUGUAGAAAAUAUGAAUAAAUCAUAACACUCUGAUGUUAAGGCAUUACUAGAGGUCAAGUGGACUUCAAGCUAUGUGGCAGCUUCUUUUCUGAUAUUUUAAUAGAGUUUCAUUUCUCCUAAGAAGGAUAAAAAAUUUUGCAUCCUGUAUUAUUUUCGGAUGAGGGAUACUCAUUUGAAUUAAUAUCAAGAUGCAUCCCACACAGAAUUUUUUAAAAAACCAUCAAUCUGCCAUCUUAUCCACAUUAUUUUGUACCUUCGGGCUCUUGAUGUAGUUUUUAUGAACAGGAUUCAAAUAAAUUGGCUCUUUUUCC